CAGCUCAGGUUUCUCUUCAUUGAUGCAUAAAUCUUUCAACUUUUACUAAAGAUUUCCGUGGAGAGGAACGUUAAUGAGUUCAACUUAUUUUUUUGCAGGCUUUACUCUGGCAGAGCUG